UGGUAGGCAGCUGAUAAAAGCGCUGCAGUGGACCUGGGAACUGCGCAGCUUGAAUUCGGUUACCUCUGGGGUAACCCGACUGAAAGGCGGAUUCCGUAGCUGAAGGCGUUGCAACAGCUGCUGGCCAGAGGCAGAUCGCAGUAGCAGCUCAUCAAAGCGGAAAUCUGAACUUGAAUUCGGUGCAGCUGAUUGUUAGAGCUGGUCUUGAAGUCCUGAGCUCCAGGAUCUGUGAGGCCCUGUGGACCGAGAUCUACCCUACCCUGGAGGCCAGCUUUCUCCUGGAAGGACACAGGUUGCAGAGGCUGGAAAUACAGGCUCACUCCAGCGUCCUAGCUAGUAU